AUCCUUGUGUAAUUCAUGAGCAUGAUGACUGGGUGUUCACACACUUGUGUGAGAUGUGCCACCCUUUACAUCGGCACAUUACCCAUCUGACC
ensembl:snoRNA